UGCAAACCUCAACGGGUGCUGGCUGUGUGCAACAAAGCCCUGUGGAAAGCGGAGGGUGAUAAAGGCAAGGCAGACCUGAGUAUCGGGCAGUCGUAAUGAUCUGUGAGCCAGGAGGGGCGUGAUCUAUCAGGAGGAGGAUGGAAACACUGGCUAUCUUUGAAUUCUAAAUAUACUUGUUAAAAUUCUAAGAGUGACUAUUUUAAAAUAGAAAUAGAGCAUAUAACUUCCACUUAACUCUCCAAGGAAAAAAUAGAAUGUCAGACUGAGCCAGAGCCAUGGAAAAGUGCUCAGGCAGCGGGAGCUACACGUGCAAAGGCCCUGGGGAAGGAGGGAAGAGGCGCAUGCCUGGCACUGAUGUCUGUGCGGCUGGAGGCAGACGGGCGCAGAAAGGGGUCUGAGACGUGGCUGGAGGCAGCAGGACCAGACAGGAUGGAGCCUCAGGGCUGUGGUUCUGAGCUUCAUUCCAACAGCAGGAAAAGGGAGGCAUGUUUGUAACCUGCAGGGAGGCGGGAGCCAUGGACAGGAUUGCAUCUGUGACUUGCCAGCAUCCCGCUGGCUCCCAUGGAAGCAGACUGCCCUCAGGCCCCAGCGGAGGGAGGGAGAGCAGACAGAACAAUUUCGGCCCCUGGACAUGGUGGCGGCAGGGGAGGUGGGCUGUGGCCUUCCAAGAAGAGGAGGAGACACCAGAGGCGGACGCAGCAAGGCCGGGAGAAAGGUUUCAUGAGAAACCAGCACUGACACUGAUGGCACCUUGAUCUUGGACUUCCAGGCUCCAGAGCUGUGAGAAAAUAAAGGUCUAUCAUCUAAGCUGCCCAGGCUGAGGUCUUCUGUUACGCUCUGGAGUCCACGCACCUCCAUCUUGUUCUCCUGGGAGGCUGACUUGGGCUCCAGCCACCAUGCUGAGUGAACCAUGACAGAGGUGGCCCUCCAGCCCCGACUCGGGCACCCCGGCUGAUGCCAUAUGGACAGAGAUGAGACAGUCCUGCUGAGCCCUGCCCAAAUUGCAGAUUUGGGAGCAAAAUACAUGGUCUCUGGGA